rnacentral:rRNA from 1 species
CACGUAGGGGGCAAGCGUUGUCCGGAUUUAUUGGGCGUAAAGAGCUCGUAGGCGGCUCGGUAAGUCAGGUGUGAAAACUCUGGGCUCAACUCAGAGACGCCACCUGAUACUGCUGUGGCUAGAGUCCGGUAGGGGAGCGUGGAAUUCCCGGUGUAGCGGUGAAAUGCGCAGAUAUCGGGAGGAACAUCAGCGGCGAAGGCGGCGCUCUGGGCCGGAACUGACGCUGAGGAGCGAAAGCCAGGGGAGCAAACGGG